GAUCAGCCACACUGGAACUGACACACGGUCCAGACUCCUACGGGAGGCAGCAGUGAGGAAUUUUGCGCAAUGGGGGCAACCCUGACGCAGCAACGCCGCGUGAGUGAUGAAGGCUUUCGGGUCGUAAAGCUCUGUCAAGUGGGAAGAACCUGUUUCGUGCCAAUACCACGAAACACUGACGGUACCACUGAAGGAAGCACCGGCUAACUCCGUGCCAGCAGCCGCGGUAAUACGGGGGGUGCAAGCGUUAUUCGGAAUCAUUGGGCGUAAAGGGCGCGUAGGCGGUCCUGUAAGUCAGAUGUGAAAUCCUUUCGCUUAACGGAAGAAGUGCAUUUGAAACUGCAGGACUUGAGUAUGGGAGAGGGAAGUGGAAUUCCUGGUGUAGAGGUGAAAUUCGUAGAUAUCAGGAGGAACACCGGUGGCGAAGGCGACUUCCUGGACCAAUACUGACGCUGAGGCGCGAAGGCGUGGGGAGCAAACAGGAUUAGAUACCCUGGUAGUCCACGCAGUAAACUUUGUUCACUAGGUGUAGCGGGUAUUGACCCCUGCUGUGCCGAAGCUAACGCAUUAAGUGAACCGCCUGGGAAGUACG
rnacentral:rRNA from 1 species